rnacentral:lncRNA from 1 species
CUGAUAUGAUUAAAGGGCUUUAGCCUAUAGUCAAUAAAUAAUCUUGGUGCUGAGGAAACUGUCUUAGGCCAGCCUUGGAUGAAGAGCUGGACAAAGUGGGACAUCAACACCUUGUUCUAUCUAUAAUUCACCUUCUUGUCCUCGUUCCCAGACCCUCAGUCUUCGAUUAGGACAGAUAAGCUAUCUGUGUUUAUAACUGCACAACAGGCAACAGCAACGGAGCUAUGCUUACUUUGCUGAAUUUCUGCCCCCCCCCCAUUUAAUUCUCUUGUUGACUAUAACAAUAUCUUUGCUAGUAAAUCUGAAACCUUAAAUACCUACCAAAACUGGGAUAGCAGGAGAGUAUGGUUGAAACCACAGUUUUCUGGGUCUCAUCCCUAGAGUUUCUGAUUCAGUAGAUCGGCUUGGGACCUAAGACUCUGUGUCUCUUGACAGUGUUCAGGUGGUUUCAACGCUUUGGAUCCCUGGAGAACACUGGUCCUGAGGAGGGCUGUGCUGAUCACUGGUCCAAGGGAUGGUUGUUAGUAUAUUUCAAAAGGAGAGUCAUCAAGGACACUAAGACAACAAGCAAAUCUCUUCAAGUCACAGAGAAGGAUCUUGCUGAAAAGAAUUAGUGAAAAUUUCCCCAAUGGUGGACCCAUUGUCCGUUACAUGCAGCAGCCUGAGACUGCACAUAUGUCCAGAGGAGCUGAAGUCAGAGUGUUGAAGAGAGCUCAUGCUUACUGUACCAGGAUCCACAACAGCUAAGACAUGGAGCCUACAAAGUCUCUAGCUACAGAUGGAUCGAUGAGAGGAUUUAAACCUCAAGUUGUUGGCCAUGUCAGAUUCCUCCUGUGUUCUGUAAAUGGAGUCAUGGGCUUAGGGGAUGGAAAGCCCAUGGUGGAUAAACUGGUGUGUGUGUCAAGGCUGAUGGCUCAAUAUCAUAUGUUCAUGGUCCAUGGAUACCUACCGGAGGGAGGAGACAUUCCUGGAAGAAAGGAUGCCUGGUGCCUCAUUCAAGGUCAGCCCACAGAACGCCACGGAAUGAACAAGAACAGCUCUGAUCCUUCUAUCCCUCAUUCUCUGGGAAUGAGGAAGCUGCAGAAUGUCCAUGCAUAAUUGCUCUGGGCGGUUCAAAGCUCAUUUUCUUGAAGGGAGCGAAUUCCCCGCUGCAGAUAUUACUGUGUGUACAAUGUGCCUCCAUUGUGAAUCAUUUCAUCACUAUUUUGUAAGUGUCCAGGGUCUGCAUUGGAAUGGAGACACUUUAAUUAUUAAAUUAACACAAUUUAAUGGUCGAUAUGUUCCAUUCCUCACUAGACUUUAUAUUUUUAAAAUUAACCAUUGCUUUCUUCCUAAUGAUAUAGAGAAUGUCUUAGUGAUAUAGAGUAUAAUGUCUUCGCUUCAUAUUGAGGAAUACUGGGUGUUUCCUUAAAUCUCCAAAACUGACGUGUUGCUGGAAAACAUCCACACAUGAGGCCUUUCCUAUGCUUUUUUUUCUUUAUUGGCUUUUGUUCUAUCCAUGUCAUUUUAUCACAUUUCGAUACUUUAAUGAACUAUCAUACCACAAAUCUUACACACAGUGCUUAUCAUGCUAGUAGACACACAGGCAUUCUUAUAUAAGUGUAAUAUUUAUCCAGUUGCCUCUUUCUUCAUUUACUUGAUAUCUUAAAUUUUGUUUCAUACAAAGAAAUGGGUUCCAUUGCCAAUUUUUCUUAUAUAUCACAAUUCUUUGUUCUUAUUCACCCCCAUGUACUGUCACCCACCAUCUUUCUUCCCACUUUGGGAUCCCCUUCCCCAUCCUACCCCCAUCCUACCCCAGCUUUCAUGACUCAUAUAUUUCCCAUUUAUUAAUAGGGCUGGGGGCUUCCACUCAGUUGGAAAUAGCAACAUCUCCUAACAUUUUCCGCAGCAAAACUGCUUGAAAGUGUACAGAGAGAAAGAGACAAAAAAAAAACAAAAAACAAAAAACAAAAAAAACAACAACUCUGUGUUCACAUAAAGGGGUGCCAGGCCUUUCCCUGCUGUUAAGUAAUGAAGAGAGGUAGGGAGUUGUUUGUUUCUAGGUUGUCAAGCAGAGGUGGUAGUUGGUCAAAGUGGCAGUAAUUACAAUGGCUGGAAG